UUACUCAUUUGCUCUCUCCUUUCAUACAGUCAGCUGGCCCUCUUCUCAGGUGUAGAUCACCUAUUAUCAUUUCACCUGUUUUGAUUCUCUGAUGAGGCAAGUCCCAGGACUUAUCAGCAGGGAUAGGCCUCAUUGACAAGACAGCUCUGUUCAGUAUCUGGAAGAAAGCCUGACAGGUUUCUCCGGGAAAGUGACCAUCCAUGGAAUGAAUGAAAUGUUCCCUUUCUAUUUCUGGGAUUGCAGUGGCAAAGCUAGGCUAGGUCUUGGAGGCUGGUGUAAGGCGAAGCGGGUGAAGGCAGGAGGCUGAUGGAGAGACUGGGGGGAAGAAAAGCCGAAAUGGAUUCAUGGUGCCUUGGAUGGAGGACGAGAGGGGAAUUGCAAGCUCCUUCAACUCGUUCUGUCCGGUGAGAAGUGAUCAAGCUUGGGCUGACAAGAGGCUCAGGGAGCCCUCACGUUCUUUUGCUUUUUUACCUGCCAAUCAAACUGCUACAAGACAACACCCUGAUCUGGCAUGGACAUCGCGGGUCCAAGCCUGUAGCCCCAAAUCGGAUAAUCUCUGCAGCUGAUAACAAGCAAAAGAGAAGCCAGGCAACAGCCAUAUUAAAGAAGAAAACAAUCAACUCUGAGGAUACAGACAGGCAUGCAGAAGUAACUAGACGUCCCAACACAUGCCAAAGUCUUGCGGGCCCAGGAUUUCAAACAAAAGAAAACUCGGACAGGAGUGCUGUGCCCACCUGGACUGAGGGAACAGCCCUGGCAAAGUCUCAAGACAGGUCAAGAAGCUGGGGAAGGCAAUCAGCUCUUGCAUCAUCCACAUUGUUCCUGGAGCACAGCCUGGCUGAUCCUGGGGCUAGAGCUCAGAACCAGAUCCAGCUUAGAAAUAAUGUUUCACUCAAGAUAAGGCUUGUGGUUUAGGAGAUUCUGGUCUGGCCUGCCUCACUUUAAGACUUCUAUCAUCUCUUUUCAAAACCUGAGGAGGACCUCAUUUCCUGUUUGAUAGUUCUUUAUGCUUUGCCAGCCUCCGGGUCUUUAACGAAGCUUGCCAAGAGUUCCCGGCUGGGAAGGACAGUCUGAGUUCAUCAUAGAGAAUGAGCUGGCACCACACUUGUAGUGACUCACCAACCUCAUUGCCCACUUUGCAAUGGCAAGAACCACACUAUCUAAUUGAAAGACCUGUGUUUUAACAAAGUUCAGUUGGAUCACAUGGCAAAAUCUUCUCAAAAUAUAUCUCCAGUCUUUCCUUUCACUGGAUGUUUUGAACCCAAAGGAAAUUAUAUUCUGAAUUAUAUUUGUUUUUUUGUUUUUAAUUGAGAUUAAUUAACAGAUACUUGGUUUUAUGUCCAAUUCUGUUCUAGGAAUUUAGUGGUGAUUACAAAGCAGUGAAAAUAGGUCACAGCAAAAUGAACAUUCAAGAUUAGGUUAAAGCAUUCCUCUGAAAUUUCAGUAUUCAUUUUUGGAAUGUCAGUUACUACAUUUCUGUAAUUCAUCAUUUUUUUUUUUUCUUGGCUUACAGUCAAGAUGAGAAAUGAUAUUGAAACCAAAGACAUUGUUUUGUUACAUAGCCAAUGCUUUUUAAAAUGCAAAACCACCCUCCCCUCACCAAUGCUUAAUCAUUUGUGUGUGCUUAUGUUCACACACACACAAACACACACAUAUGCUGGAGAAAAAUCUUUCAAGACUUCCAGGACCUGGGCCGUGUAAGAGGCAGAUGAGAAAAUUAAAGGAGGGCCAGAACAGUAGCAACACUGAGUCAAUGAUUUCACUUUACAAAAAGUCCUUAUAUAGUACACAGGCAGUUUUUAAAAGCAAGUAUUAUUAUAAUUAAAUAAUAUACUUCUAAAGUAUUAUGAUUCUCAUCUAAUUUCAAGAUGUAUAUAGGAGCCGUUUAAAAGUAUUUUUUAUUAUAAUCUGUCAUCAAAAAUCAACUAGCAGAGUUUUAUAAUGUGUGUAGGUUUACCCAAUGGGAAUUAAAUUUUAAUUUAUAAGUCUUUCUAUCACUGUAGAAAUUUAGGACAAGAUAGCAUUUGGUAUUAACAUAGAAUAAUAUUCUAGAGCAUUUUUUUUUUUUUAGCUUUGAAUUGAUCUAAAAGAAAGUACACCUUGAAUUUUUCCUCCUAGUGUUCUUGUGUUAUAUUAGAGUAUUUUCAUGACAUUGUUUUUAAUGUAAACAUUAUUUUAUUAAGUCAUUAGGUAAAAAAAAUUUUUUUUAAUAUAUAAUAAUGGUCACUUGCUUUUCUCUUAAUUUUACUAUUUCAAGUCAAGCAAAAAUGGACAUUUUUCUCUCAGGAAAAAAAAAUUGAGUGUGUUUUUGACACAAAAAUGAAUAUUUAGUUACAGUGUUUUCCCCCCGACUAAAUUAGCAUUUAUGGUGGAUCUUAUUUAAAAGCUGAUUAGUCUCAAAGAAGAGCAGAGAGAUAAUAGAAUUUCCAAGUAAAUUAUGUUGUUUAAAAAGUAUUUUAAUACAUUAUUCAAAUUGUUUUCAGUUAUUGGUUUAUAAAAAAAAAAAGCAGUAUCUGUUACAAAUGUGAAAUUUGGUUUUGAAAGACCUUACAAGUUCCAAUUUCUUUAGGACAACAGUGGAAAUUAAAGUCAUAGACAAUUUAGAACUCCUUCAGUUUUUUCCCUUUAAAAAAAAAAAAAAAACUUGUGAUAGGCAUCUCUGCAAGGUAGGUUUUAACAUAUUUUUUUCCUAAUUUUUUUUUCCUUCUUUCAGUAAGAAGGAUAAGCUUUUAGAGUACCCAGUCACCGUGGUAACUGCCAAAAAAAUUCUCCUGAAGUUUGAAGAGGUCAGCUAGCAGGGUCAACAACUCUAGCCUCUCUCUGAGCUCGGUCUAGCAUGCCCCAGCCUGCGGUUGGAGUGUCAGGCCAGAUCUGACCCUGGGAGGUGGACUAUUCCGGCUCUGAUAUAAAUUUUUUGAGUCAGUUCAUGGCCUGGACUCUCCAGGUGGCCUCCAAAAUCGAUUUUGACCCCCUGACCCUGUCUCACGGAGGCAUAGCAUCCACCCUAAGUAAGGAUUUAGCCAGGAAUGACAGCUUUCCACUGAGUGUUAUUGGGACAGUAUAAACAGUUUGGAAAGCAAGUAAGGAGGUGUGAGAGCUAGAAAUCAUUAAAAGCACAUUAAAAAACAAUUACAAUUUUUUCUUAGCUUAAAAAAGUUUAAAAUGUUUAUUGGUUGUGUAAUUCUUACCUGAUUUUUAAGAUUUUUUAAUCAAAAAAGUUUUGAAUAUAAAUAAUGAACCACACAUCUUCAUCUUUUUAUAUACUUUGUUACCAAUAUGUAAAUAAGAUAGCCUCACUUACAACAAAAUAAGUACAGCAGGAAUGUAAAACUAGGGAAAAGAAAAGCUAGUUAUUAAAAUACAUAAAUAGAUAAAGAGUUUCAGGUAUUUUAUCUUAUUUUCUCAAGUAUUUUAAAUAUUACAUUUCAUGUGCUUGUGUCUUGAAAUGUUUAAAAUGUGAAAAUAUGGAACCCUAAAAAGAAACAACCACCAUCUGAAAGGAGAUAAACUUGUAUUUCACGUCAAGUGCCUUGGUACUUUGUAAAACAACUAGCUGAUACACUCAUUUGGAUACAAAUGAGGUAAAAAUUAUAAAUAGGGAAAGUUAGAUCUUUAGAGGAGAAAAGGACAAAGUUAUAAAUGUAUAGUGUCUUAGAAUUAAUUUUGUAUUUUCAAUAGUUUAAGAUAUUAGAAGCUUGGGAAAUAAACAUAACAUGUGUAAAUCA